UCCGUAGGUGAACCUGCGGAAGGAUCAUUAAAAAUGUCGCAAGACUAUACACCGUGAACCAAACAACACGCUACAACUCUAAACAGAAAAAAACAUAAAAAAUACAACUUUUAGCAACGGAUCUCUAGGUUCUCGCAACGAUGAAGAACGCAGCUAAUUGCGAAAAGUAAUGUGAAUUGCAUAAUUCCGUGAAUCAUCAAAUCUUUGAACGCACCUUGCGCCUUCUGGAAUUCCGGAAGGCAUGCCUGUUUGAGUAUUGAAAAACUAAAUCAGAAUUUUAUAUUCUGGAUAUGAGCAAUGUUUUUCGAAACCUGUUUUAAAUACAUGUCGAUUUAAUGGAGCCAGUCCUUCGGGAAUGUCCAUUGAUAAGGCCAACUUGACAAACAAUCUCAAAUCAAGCAAGACUACCCGCUGAACUUAAGCAUAUUAAUAAGCGGAGGAAAAGAAACUAACAAGGAUUCCCCUAGUAACGGCGAGUGAAGCGGGAACAGCUCAAAUUUAAAAUCUCCUCGGAGAAUUGUAGUUUAUGAAAGCGUUAUCGACGAAGGCCUGGGUACAAGUUCUUUGGAACGAGACAUCAUAGAGGGUGAGAAUCCCGUCUUUGAUCCAGGUCCCUUCGCACUAUGAUGCGUCUUUUAAGAGUCGGGUUGUUUGGGAAUGCAGCCCUAAAUUGGUGGUAUAUUCCAUCUAAAGCUAAAUAUUGGCGAGAGACCGAUAGCAAACAAGUACCGUGAGGGAAAGAUGAAAAGAACUUUGAAAAGAGAGUCAAAAGUACGUGAAAUUGCUAAAAGGGAAACGCUUGAAGU
rnacentral:rRNA from 1 species